UUUUUAUUGAAUUUAGAGAAGUAAAACAUAAGUCAGAAGUGACCUGUGCUGAAAUCGGAGCGAAAACAGAAGAUUUAGAAUAUUCUGUUGGAAACGGGACAGAUAAUGUAAUAUAUCGAAUUUCCACUACGUAGCUAAUUGGGAUCAAAUUGAUCACAAUAAUGCAAAAAUAAAAAUUAAUUGCUUCCAAAUUAAUUUGAUAACUUGUGGAAGUGUGUUAGUAUGUUUUGGAAGUGUUUAAGUGGACUCGGAAUGAUUUAGAUGCACGAGAAAGGCUUCAAAUUGCUGCUGCCCGGUUCUGAUUAGUGCAGGGACUGCAUUGUAAGUCUGCAGGGACUAAACUGCGAACUGUAGGGACUGAAUUGUAAACUUCAGGAUUGUAAUGCACUUUUGCUGAAGUAGGGGGUUAAGUUGCAAUUAUGCAUCCUUAUCACUUAACCCCAGCUGGUUGGAAGGUGUACACGUGCUGGUUAACCCCUCCAUCAGCUUAAUUUCAUCCAAUUUCUUUUCCCCUUCUCUCUCGUAGCCUAGUAACCAGCUAAGGAAGAAAAAGCUUGGUGGAGUUGGGUUUUCCUUGCGUUUGGAGCUGAGAACAGUGGCCGAGCAGGGGGAUUGUGUUGCUGGUGUUGGAAACAACCUGGUUUAGUACCUAAUUAAGGUAAGCUUGUUUUGGUAUCUGAUUAUAAUUAAGUUAAUUAUCUUAGAGAAGGGUUAAUGAAGACCUUUUUGCUGCCAGGACUUAAACCUUGGUGAGUUGUUGAAGCAGAAUUAGAGGGAGUUCUUGCUGUUAGAGCUAUUGAGCAGGAGACUUGGACCCUUUGAGCUGAGAGCAGCUUGGUGGACUAUAAAUUAAGGUAAAGUAGGUUCUAUAAUUAGUUAUAGUCCAAUUAUAUAAUUGCUUUAGAGAUGACUUAUAGAAGGAUUUCUUGCUGCUGAAAUUGCAGACCUGAAAUUCAGGCUGAUUGAAGCUGUCGAGGUGGAAAUCAGCUGAUGGAGCUUGAGAAUUGAGGUAGAUUACUUACCUCUUAGCUGAGAAUUAAUUAUAGCUGCAAAGGGGAGUAAGUUUAAAGCAUUAAAAUUGAUAUUAAUUGGUAGGUGGCUGCUGCCCAAGUGGUGCAGGAAUUGGGCGCCCAAAUUGGAAGAGAUUUAGUAGAGUUCUUGGGUGUCCAAAUUGAUAGCUAAAGCUUUCUUGGGUGCUCCGAAUUGAAAGGGAGGACUUGGGGGAACUUUGAAUAGGUAGGAAUAAUACUUUCCCUUGUUUAAGUACUAUUGAUUACUCUAAAGGGAAGGGUAAACAUUAGUGAGGAAGUAGUAGUGCUGAAAUUCCAGCAUAGUGCAGAAUUUCAGCAUUAGAAAUUCUUGCUGUGGAGCUGAGAACGAACUAAUUGAGCAGUGAACUACGGUAAAUAUGAUUGUAUUAUGAUUAGGAAUCGGUUAAUUGUAACAGAUUGAUGUUAAUUAAGAGUUCUAUGGGUAUUUGAGUUAGUGAAAACUCAAACCUGCAUUGAGGAAUUCCUAGUUUGAACCUUCUAAAACUAGCUUACACUAUAUACUUGUGCAUACUAGGAAUGAUCAGUAAAGAGAAAAUUGGAAUUAAAGUAGCUUUAAAUUCUGAGUUAAGGUGAUGAUAAUCCCUGUCUAGAGAGGUUGAAUUAUAAGUUAUUCUAGUUCUUAGAACUCCAAGCUACAUGGGGGGCUUGGUAAUGAGACUUAUGUGUAAAUGUGUGUUGAUAAUGUACAUAUACACAAGCAAAUUGGAGUAGCAAUGCAAACUUGUAAAAUAUGUGAAUGUGACCCUAGUUUAAUCUCUUUUAUUCCUUUAUAAAUGAAGGUUUGAUGUGCUCGGAAGUUCAAAUUCACGUUCCGACGGAUCUAUGACGCACUAAUUACGGUAGAAGCCGUUCUAGCUCUACUUGCACUGAGUUGCGAGAGCUCGUUGUUGAUACAGUUCGAGACAUUGAUUCCAAUUUGUUGGCAUCUCUACAGGUGGGGGGUGCUAUCUGAAAUCAUUGAAUCACUCUUUAUGUCUAUGUUACCUUUUUGAGCAUAUCUGUAUAUGAAUAAAUUAAUAUUCAUGCAUUAUAGGGUUAAUGGUAUUAAGUGUUUAUGAAAUGAAUAAUUGAGCAUAUCUCAUUGUUAAGAACAUGUGAACCAUAAAGUGUGGACAUAGAACCCUAUGAAUGUGUGAAUUUUACUGUGGACUAUGACAUAGUAAGCCUGGUGACAUUAUGACUAGAAAUAUUGAUUAGCGUCGACAUUGAAAUUAUAAAACUAGCAUAAAGAGCUAGUUAGAGUAAAGUGUGGCAUUGUCUUUCAAUGGAUCCUCUAAAGGAGGAUCAGAUCAUACUCACAUCAGUUUUAUGUUCAAGGAAUGUCGCUCCUCCUUGAACGAUGAGCUCCGGAGUAGUCAUCUCAACUGGAUCAGGAGCUAGCGUCUCCCCCAGUAGACAGUCCCGUCGUGAUGUAGCUUGCGUCUCCCCGAUAUUUGGGAUUUCGUCGGUGAGUUAUUGUUAACCAAAGGGUUAACCAGUUUAAUUGGGUAAUAAUUAUGAACAACAUGCAUGCAUCAAUUUCAGCUAUUAUUUACUGUUUCUUUCAGCUUUAUAGAGGCAUUAUAGUAGUUACAUGUUAUAGCUGGUUAUUAUCUAUUCUCUUUUCUUGUCUACAUAUACCUGAAUAGACCUAGUGGGUGAGUCGGCGAGGUCGGCGGCCGAACCCACUGGGAACUUUUAGUAGUUCUCACACCACUAACCAUGCAGGUCCUAGCACGAGCGAUGUGGCCGAGGAUCGCGGCAAGAGCCCAGCAUCUUAGCUAGUGGACACCAGUAUAUAGUGGUAUACCCAUUUUGGUUCAUGUUGAAUAUAGUGAUGAACAGAAAGACAUGUAAAUAUUUGUAUAAAUAAAUCUGUAAAUGAUGUAAAUAACUAAAUGCUUCAGUUAUCCAGUUUUAUAGUUCAGUUUUGAAGUUUUAAAAUUACAGUGAGUACAUGUUUAGUUAAGUUCAGUUUCACUUGUUCCUGUUGCUUGCCCUCGUGCAGGCCAUGUAUAUUGAAAUUUUAUCCUGGAAAUUAUUUAUUUCUUUAUACAUAUACUCGUUGUUGUUGAGCUUUGAGCGGACAGGGGAGGUGCUCUCCGUUCGGCGUCUGUGUACGGGCCCGGAUCGACCAAAUUGGCGAUAGCGGGACGUAACAGAUAAAUUAGCAGAAAAUGCAGUCUGAGAAAAUUAUGAAAAUUGGAGGAUAAGCCAGAAUUAUUUUUAUGAGGCUAGAUUUAAAGUUUCAUGUCAUUCUGACACCCGGAAGGUAGAAAAUAAAAUCCGACAGCUAUCUGAUAAAGAUUACAGUUCGGUACAGUUUUCGGUGACCAAACGGGGUCGAAACUGAACCAGUGAUCGUCAGCUUGUUAAGUUAAGUAAAACCGAACAUGACUGUUAAAUUUGAGCUCAAACGGAUAUUCAGGGAGCUCCGGCGAAAGAUAUUAGAUUUCGAGCUACCUGGAGUGAAUAGUGGUUUGGGUGUUAAUGUAUAAAAGAGUAUUUCUCUUCUUCUCCCCCAACCGUGCAGCCACACACACACAUGCGCCACACACACACGCAUGCAUGGAGGGAGAGAGAGACCUCCCUUUCUCUCUCUAAAUCUCUCCCAAAAGAGGUGGUUUUGGUGGAGAUUGAAGCUUAAAGGUGGAUUUUCAUUUUCAUCGUCUUCUUCCUCUCCAUUGGAGCUUGUUUGAGAGGUAAGCUUUGAUGCCCUCUCAUGGUAGAUCUUUAGAGCUUCAUUUAUAUGCUCUAAAAAUAGUUUAUUUGGAAUCCUAGCAUGCUUAAAUAGAGGAUAAAUGCUAGAAUCUAGAGGAUUAAUGGUGGAUUUUUACCUAGUUGUAAUCUAGGGCUCAAAAAUGGAGUUUUGUAAAAUAUGGGGGUUUGAUCUAAUUUGACCCUUCGUAAACCUAAUUGCUAGGUAAACGAACGCGGUUGGCGAAGUCGGUUCGGCGAUUCGUCUAGCUGUUGUAAAGAUAUUAAAGAAACGGACGUUUAGGCUUCGUUUCCGCCUGGAGGGCCGAGGCGACAUCGUAAAGUCAUGAAAACGGAUUUGGAGUAACGUGGCACAUAACCGAAGACCUAUAAUUUUCGGUGCCGCGAUCCGACGCACGGUUGGUGAGUGUUAGCAAAAUCGGGCUGAACCGGACACGGGUGACGCGGGAGGCCGAUUGCAAGUGUCGACAAGCAAUCGGAAAGCGAUUUGAGGUGGGUUGUGCUUACCGAAGCGACUAGGUCGCCUGUAUGUCUAAGUAAAGUGAAUUCAUGUUGAUGCAUAUAAAUACUAGAUGGAUGCAUGUAGUAACUCCUAAAGGGAAUGCAUGCUAAAGAUGCAUUAUAGAAAUUCUAGAAUGCAUGAUGAUGUAAUAUAAAUGCAUGUUAAUUAUCUAAAGUAAGAUGCUAAGAGAUUGUACAUGAAGUGACAUAAUAUAAGAAUGCUAAAUAAAUGCAUGAAUGAUGUGGUAUAGAAAUGCUAGAAUAUAUGCAUUGGUUAAUGUUAGUUGAAUGCAUGUCAUAGAAAUGCUAAAUGUAAGCAUGUGGUUAAUGCUAAGAUUAUUUCUAAUUGAUGCAUAAAGUUGUAUUAGUAGGUUUACAUAAUAUUAUGAAUGCUUGAAACAUACUAUGUAGUUGAAAUUACCUACCAAUGAGAUGAAAUGUAUACUGAAUUAAAUAGUAAAAGAAUGCAUGAGAUGCUAAGUAUGGACUAUAUUAGAAGAAUUAUACAUGUUGCCAUAUUGGGGAACAUAGUAGAUGAACUAUACUUGUUGAACUUGGGUCGAUAACUCUAGGUUGAUUAGAGAACUCGACAUUGGAAAACUAGUAUAAUGUGCAUAUGGACAAUCUAUAUACAUUAGAUCGAGUGGCAUUAAACCUAGUGUCUUGAACAUAGGUUGAACAUGAAUGAUAUGAACCUAGUGUUAGUAAACCUAGGUCGGACAUGAAGGACAUAUGAACCUAGCGUUAAAGAACAUAGGUUAGAAUCAUGUGUGGCAUUUAAUCUACCGUUAAAGAACAUAGGUUGGACAUGAACCUAGUGUUAAAGAAAGUAGUUAAACAAGGUUUAACCCAAAGUGACAUUGUGGCUUGGUAUUAGCGGUAUAUGCAUGAUUAGGUAAAAACCUAUCAUUGGCAUUGAGGCAUAAAGAUAUGGAACAGGUUGGCUAUACCUCCUCAAAUUGAGGAUGGUAUCGUACUCACAUGUAUCGGUUCCGGCUUGUGCGAGGUCGCUCCUCUACAGGCGGUGUACUCCGGAGUAUAGACACUACGGGUGAGAGUGCCCGGCGAAGAUCCCUCGGGUGACAGUGCCUUAUGCCUUCCCCGGUAGACGGGAUGGAUCUCUCGGGGGCAUUUUCCAAUGCUAAUCCCGGUAGAUGGGACAUAUGAGAUGUGAGCUUGGGGCGAACUUGAUGAACCCCGGAAAGAUUGGGUAAAGGCCAAAGUGAAUGUGUGAAAGUAUGCAUUAUGAGUUAUGGAUUUGGUAUUCCAGUUGAGUGGAUUUAUGGCUGAGGUGCAUGUGGGACGUCCUUCACCUCGAGCUUGGAUGCAUGCGGUAUUCCGCAGAUGAUUGACUCGAGACCGAGUCGGGUGGUUAGCUUGGCUACGGUAGAGGAAAAGCUUAGCAGCAAAUAACCAAUGAUAUAAAGUGACAAGAUGUAUAAAUUAUGAAAAAGCUAUGGAUAGCAUGAUAGAAAGUAAAAUCAUUUAUUUUACUUGUAUAGUUGCAUGGUUUCAUAUUGCAUAUCGCGAGGCAUGACAUGUAGUUCAAUAUCGAAUAAAUGUUUAAGUAUCUGUUAUGUGUUAUUGGACUAACCUGUUGCAGUGCCUCAUUAGACCUAUUGGUUGAGCUUUUCCCUUGGGUGGCCGUACCAUCUGGAAACUAUGGAGUUGGUUCUCACCCCACGUUGUUUUGGGAUGUUACAGGUUCACACGUGAGCGGCACGGCGGCGCGAGGCGAGGACGUAGCUCCGUAGUUAGCGCCCUACUACCGAGACCAGAGAUAGCGGUACCCUGAGUCGACUACUUAGGGAUGUAAGAAAAUGAAAGGAAUAAGAUUGCAAUAAUUUAUAAUAAAAGCAUGAUUGUAUUUCGAAGUUAAAUAUAAUAUGUAAUUGUGAUGUAAAAUAUAUCUAGUGAAUUUGAAUGCUUGUAAUAACAAGUAGAUUAUGUUUUUGAUACUUCCUUAUGCAAUCUUUGAUUGAAUGUGUUCUUGGUUGGAACUUCGUAUAUUGUAUUGAUUGCGACACCUUGAAUGUACAGAGGAGACUCUGUCCGUGGUACAGGGAAAACCCUGUCCGUUCGGCGGUCCGUUGGCGUACCCAAAAUCGACCAAAUAGGCGGGCUUGGGGCGUGACAGAUAAGAUGGUAUCAGAGCAUAAAAGAAACGUAAAAAGAAUAAUAGAAAAUGAUUUAGUUGGACCUAGGAGACCAUAGGAUAGUAAACCAUAGGAGAUUAAGGCUCGUGAGAGACGAGGACUUGUUUCUUUUGGCGAAAGGUUAAUUGAUUGGGUUGUGUCAUAAACCUCUAAAACGGAUGUUAGAGGUAGACUCAGGGUGAGGUUUAUUCUCAACAGAGGGUGUUCAUGUUGGGUGCACACAACAUGAAGCCAAGUGAUGAGAAUAAACGCCCUUGCAUGACUUUUGCCCGAUUUGAGUCAGUAUUAAGUGUCUUGUGUUCGACCUAGAAGGUCGAGGAUUAAUAGAGUUGUCGUGUUUUAGGAAGCGAUAGCACUACGUAGGCGAUCUUCAUUUAGAUCGGUGCGGGAUUGGCCAAGUGGUGUCCCUGGGCAAUUUGAGGCGAGCGGAGACUUGGAACUUCGCGAGUUUUGGCAGCUCUCAUGACCUUUGAGAAAUUAACGGAAUUCUCGUUGUGUUAGAUCACUUUUGGUCAAAUUGACCGAAGUGCAAGGUUGGUAUGCUUCGGUAAGGCCGAAGGCAUCGAAAGGAGUAAAGGUGCGUCAUUGGGGAUCUUCGAGAGCUCGGCAUUUGAAAAUCUGCAAACUGCAGGUUUUCUGCUCUCGGAGAUCGGUUCCUACGGGGAGAGACCAGUCCCCGAACGCGUAGGCAACGAGAAGGCUGAGAAAUCGGCUAAGUCCUGGAAAACCAGCUCUCGGGAACCGGUCCCUGCGAGGAGAGACCGAUCCCAGAGACCGGUUCCAUCGGGGGAGACUGGUUGCAUCGGGCGUGAGCUCUGCUGACCGCGGGGAGAGCUCUCUGGGACCGGUCCCAGGCUCGAGAGACCGGUCCCCGAGCCCGAAAAUGGCCGAGUCAGGGCAGUGUAAAAGAAUAAAAGUUGAGGGGCUUAUUUGUACUUAUGCACCAUGUGGGGCUAUGUGGGGGGUAUGAGAGCUCUUUUCUCUCAUUUUUCGCCCACACACCCUCUCAUAUCUCUCUUUCUCUCUCUAGAAGACAAGAAGAGGAAGAAGAAAGGAAAGGAAAGAAGGAGAAGAAGAAGGAGGUUUUCCUCAUCUUCUUCAUCUUCUCCUUGGUUGGAGCUUCUCGGAGGGGUAAGCUCCUAAGCUCUCUCUCAUGGUGGAUUUCUAGAGAUAGGUUUGAUUGCUCUAGAAAUGAAGUAUUGUAUUAUCUGAGGGCGUAGUACCUGCCAGUACAGGUAUAGAGCCAGAUGGCACUAGCGAAGUGCUAGAGGUAAUCUAUGGCGAGAAGUGAGACUCGCGGUAGAGAUAGAAGUGGCGAAACGACUCUUAGAGCAAUAUGAGUAGUAAAUUGCGAGAGUUGAGCCAUGAUGCUUAUGAGAACACCCGAGUAGUCCGAAAAUUUCGGAUGUCAUUCCGGUAGAUCGAACAGUGAAAGUAGCAUCACUGUUGAGAGAAUGGUCGAUUGGUGGCCAAGUUUGAGCACGUGGGCCUAGUAGUACCUCAAGGUGAGGUAGGCAGUUGUGCUCGUGCAGCCGGUGUGCAUAGGCAAGAUUGCCUAAUGCUGGACUUCGUGUGGAACGCUGUAGAGGCGUAGAGCGCUCUAGUGUAGAUACCCAUAGAGUGCGGAUGUGGAUUCAGCCGAGAGAGUGUAUUGGCAGUAGCACCUGAGCAUUGCUAGGUGUGAAGCGGGCCAUGGAUCACUCGUGGGACUGGUGACUCGCACUAUGUGCAUAGGAGCCGAUAUUGGUACGUGCGACUCAGUAGAGUAUGUCGUGUAGGACGACGACGGCGGGUAGUGCUUGGGGACGACCCGUGCCUGGACGAUUUGUGGACUAUGGAGCCUGGGCCCAUUGGGCAGGCGCAGUCAGCUGUGAGUGACAGUGGCCCGGUACCUACGGAUAAGGCAAAGUUCUGGUCAAGAUGGUAGUCCGAGCUUAGACCCGGGAGCGUGGAAUGCCACGUGAUACAUUGUGUGACCGAUGGUACACCGAGUAUGGUUGUGACCCAACCCGAGGGCUUGACGUGGUUUGGGGUCUUAGUUGCUCCUGGUUGGAGUGUGUGCGAAUUCCCAAGUGAGAAUUUCGCCCGAUGAUGAUUGGGUCUCCAUUUGCGAGGGAGAGACGCUGCGUAUUGAGACAGGUUUAGGCGGUAGGUCUACGUAGGAUUGGUGGCCUUUGGUCCACCUGUGGAGACCGAAGAAAGCGAUUUGGCAGAUAGCCUUAUCGAGGAGCUGACUCGAAUUUACGAACGAAGCGCUCGCGUGAGCUCGUUGCGAAAAUAGUUUGAUGUUAAUCGUGGCAUGUGGUAUCAGAUGAUGAAGUGCUUCUUAUGAGACAUCGAACUAGUGGAAAGCCACGUGAUGUUGGAGACUAUACUCUUAAGCGAACUAAAACUUGAGAUGUGCCGAAGUGGGCCAUCUCACGUUAAAGUCAAGGGUCAGUGCGAAAUUAGAGCACUCACGACGGAACGAUGCAUCGGUGAUAUUGCUUCUAAGCAAUGUCGGUGAUCGAAUUAGAAUGUAUUCCUGAAGGAAAGGUAAGUGCAAAGAAGAGUUCUUUGUGUACCGAAUGGCGAGUGGUGUUGGAGCGCGUAGAGUCGUCGAGUACCGACUUGCGCUUUCACUAUGACUUGCAAGAUCCGUGAUGCACCUUUGUAUCACACUUUGCAAAUGUGUUUAGGAUUAAACCCACGUCCUUCAGUAUGAGCCGCUUCUGGAACCACGAUAGUGUGAAACCGCUUUGGAGUGGGAGAAUGAGUUGGUACCCUCAAUUGCUCGCGGAGCUGAAUUGAGGCGUGAUUUGAAUUUCGCGGACGAAAUUUUUUUAAGGGGUGGAGAAUGUAACAUACCAGAUUUUGGUAUAAAAAUAAAAAUAAAUAAAAAUAGUGUGAGAAACUAUUUUUAUUGAAUUUAGAGAAGUAACACAUAAGUCAGAAGUGACUUGUGCUGAAAUCGGAAUAAAAACAGAAGAUUUAGAAUUUUCUGUUGGAAACGGGACAGAUAAAUUAGCAGAAAAUGCACAGUCUCAGAAAAUUAUGAAAAUUGGAGGAUAAGCCAGAAUUAUUUUUAUGAGGCUAGAUUUAAAGUUUCAUGUCAUUGUGACACCCGGAAGAUGGAAAAUAAAAUCCGACAGCUAUCUAAUAAAGAUUACAGUUCGGUACAGUUUUCGGUGACAAAACGGGGUUGAAACUGAAAUAUUAAAAUUUUUUUGGACUCGUUAAGUAAAACUGAACAUGACUGUCAAAUUUGAGCUCAAACGGAUAUUCAGGGAGCUCCGACGAAAUAUAUCAGAUUUCGAGCUGCCUGGAGUGAAUAGUAUUUUGGGUGUUAAUGUAUAAAAGAGCAUUG
rnacentral:lncRNA from 1 species